AUUAAUUAAAUAAAAUAAUUAAUUAUUGAAAAAGAAAAAACUCGCGUUCACGAGAUCGCCUGCGAUCAUCACCCACGAUCCUCGUGGGGGGCGUCCGGCGGCGCCGGACGCGUAUGACGGCACCGGAAGGGUCGCCGGAAGCAUCCGGCGACGCAGCAGGGUCGCCGGAUGCUUUCAGCGAUGCCUUCAGCGUCGCAAAAGGCGUCGCGGGACGCCGUCGGAGGCAUCCCGCGUCUACUCCGGCGCCGUCGAGACGGGGACGCCUCCUGUACCAGUUUCGGCCGUCCGGUGGAAUGGUAAAAACCGUUCGUGUCGGGCAACACGAAACGACAUUUCAACCCAUAAUUUAGAAAGCAGGCCGUUCCAUCUCCAGUAUAUAAUGACAACUGAUCAAAUGGAAUGCCUCAUAGCUUCAACGUAAAUGACAUCAAAAGGCAUAUAAACAUGACCUGAAAAGCAGAUCCAAAAGAAUUUACAGCAACAAGGUCAACAGAACCUCCCUUCAAUUUCUUAGCAGCAUCCAGGAAUAUAAUCUCCUUCAAAAAAAUGUCCACAGCUUGAAAUAGAAAUGAAAAUAUCAUAAGAAGUGACUAAAAUAUUGCAGCAUUUUGUAGUGAUGUACCAGCACCAGAUCCACUUGCCACAAUUAUCACCACUCUGAUGGUCACAAGAAAGCACCCUAAUAUUUGGUUUAGACGGAUACUAGAUCUUAUCCUAUUGGCUGUUGGGACACUAAAGGUUUCUAAACAGAUGUUGACAGAUUGGUUUGCCCGGGACGAUGGAGUGGCUCAGGCUUAUGACUUUUUCAGACAACCUAGUCCUAAAAAGCCAUGGGUCCGGAUAGUGUAGAAGGCAUAUAUUCAGUCGAGUCAUGCAAUUACAUUCUAGCGCAACAAUGUCUCCCCUCUAGAGAUAGAUAGGAGUAUUUGCAAGAUCAUCAAUGCACCUUCUGCUAUUAGGUGCUAGAGUCAUAGGAGUAUCUUUUUUUUUUGGGUACCCCCUAUUACGAAGUUAUGGGGAAGGAUCAGAGACUGACUUCAUAAGCAACAAGAGAUGUUUCGGGCAAUACUAUUGAGCGAGUAAGGUGUUAACAAAGGUCUCUCACCUGGUCUUUUCUUCCAUGAUUUACUAUGUUUGGCGAGAGAGGAAUAAUAGUUUCUUUGGAGAGAGAUAGUUAGAUAUUGAGAAGAUCUUCAAGAUUGUGCAAACUCAUGUAUACCGAUCAUUGAGAGAAUACUUUGAUUUGACAUGGUGUCAGACAUAAGUAGCUCCUUAGGCUGUGGAAUGACAGAUGAUGGUGAUUGGGCUUGCCUAAUCCUAGUUCUACCCCCUUUUUUUGGAUUUAAUAUAUUUUUAUUUAUCCAAAAAUCAAGAGCAGAGGUAGAAUAUAGACAAAACCUUAGCAACAUGUGAACCCAUCUGGGUUAAGCAUCUGAUAACUGAGCCAAGAUACGUCCCUGCAAAGCCAAUGAAGUUUUAAAAUCCAGUUGCAAUAGAUAUAGCCUCCUGUUCCAUGUACACAAUAGAACAAAGCAUAUACAAAUUUAUUAUCACAUUAUUAUAGAAAAAGUGCAAUCUAAUAAAUCAUUACAUUUUUUGUUAGUUUUAAUGAUUAGUUGACAUACCAAAUUGUUAAGAGAGUCUAUAGUUGAAUAUAUUUGUACCAUGUUGGGUUUCUAUAGUAUAUUCGAACCAACAAAAAUGGAAUGUUAUAAAGUUGUGCAAAUAUACAAGGAAUAAGGGGCUAUAGAGUUGUGUAAAUAUAAUGAGUAAGGUGGCUAUUUGUAAUACUCUCUUUCUUUCUAUACUAGGGAUAAAUUUAGGAUUCCAUUUGAAAGUUGAUUUUUAAAUAUUUGCAAUUUUCUCUAAUUUUAAGAGUUAUUUUAAAUUUUGAAGAAGUUUAAAUUAGUAAAAAGUUUAUUAUAUAUUAUUUAGGGAUAAGCUAGAUCAGUAUUUUACAAUCAAUUUGUCUUAUUGAUGAUUUAUAAAUAGGGUUUGGAUUCCUUGUAUUCAUCAUCUCUCUCUCUCUCUCUCUCUCUCUCUCUCUCACACACACACACACACACACACACACACAAGAGGUUGAGUUUUCUAUGAUAUGAUUUUCUGUAUAUCUUUUUUUCGUUGAUGAGUCGAGAGUUUGAGUUUUCUAUGAUAUGAUUUUCCAUGUUGCAACAAUUGGUAUCGGACUCUGAAUUCCUAAUUCGGUCUGAUCAAGAUCUCGUGGUUCUUCAAUAUCCAUUCCUUCUUGCACAACUGCCAUCCUGAGUGACUCCUUCUCUUCCCUUUUUGUUUAUCUAAUCCUUUGGCUAUCUCAUGGGUAUCUCCUUGGAUACAAAUCCUCUUUCCCAAAUUGGAACACAACUCUAAUCAUUUUCCUCCCUCCGAGACAACCUCACUCGCAAACCACACUCUCAUAUUUCCAUGGUCUUGCAUUGUCUGCACCACCACCACCUGCACCCACCUGUCCUCUGCAGUGCACAACUCAUUGAGGAUUUACUCACAUCUUACACACCACCUUCUGGCGUCGUUGCAGUCACCACCACAAAACCCGUCUCUUCGGCACAACUGCUUGAAGAGAAGCACCAUCCAUGAAGCACUUAUUAGCCACCUCCACAUUUUCACACCCCCGAGAUCUGCUCAUGAAACUGUCCACUUCUUAUCUGACCAACAUACUCUAGCCAGCAGCGUAUUUCCAUCUUCUCCUUGCUGGCAGCAUUGACCAGCACAUCGUGCAGCUACCCUCCUUGCAGGCAAAGGUUGUCACAUCGUGCACUGUUGCAUCACCUGCCUAUCUAUUGCCAGCCUUCACUGCUGCCUGCAACCUCCAAACCCACCUCCAGCAACCACCUGCAAUUCUGCCCUCUCACCAUCAACCCAAGCACCCUAUUGUUGAGCACAUGUGAGUCACCCCUUCCACUGCUCGUUGCUAUUGGAAGGAUCAGAUUGAGCUGUCGCUGCUGUAGCUGCUGUUGCUACUGCUUCUUCUGAUGGUGAAACAUAAAUAUUACCUAACAACUUCUUUCUUGAGAUUAUUGCAACUAGUGACGUCGGUGGUUGCAUCUACUAUUUACCUUUAGAUGAAUGAUGGAUGCUUAUACUACUCCAUUAUGUGCCACAAAUUUACAAAACUUAUACUAAUGGAUUGAUUGUUCCACAUGCAAGUUGUGUAGCAAACAAACUAUUAAAGUUAGUUGAUGAACCACUAUUCUCAAAGCUCAAGUUGCUAGAGUUUGACCAAUUUAUAUAUUUAUUUUAAUUAGUUUUACCUCAAUAGAUAAUGGCCUCUCUAAUUUCAUUUUCAACUUCCAAUCUUCUAUUAAUUAUUUUAUAUGUGGAAGCAUAAACUUCUAUCAGGUUCUUUCUUCCUUUCAAUGUUUGCGUCUACUAUUCGCCUUUCAAUGAUUGAUGCUUAUAGCACUCCGUUAAGCCUCAGAUUUAUAAAACUUAUGCUAAUAGAUUCAUUGUUUCACAUGCAAGUUGUGUGAUAAACUAGUUGAAAUUGGUGGGCUAAUCACUAUUCUCAAACUCUUGAGCUAUUAAAAAUGGGACCAAUUUAUAUAUUUAUUGUGCUAACACUUUCCCUUCAUUUGCAGGGGAGAUACUUAAAGGAACUAAUUUAUAUUGUUAACUCUAAUAAUUCUAUUAGCUAGUUAUUGCCUAGGCAUUCUUCUUACUGCUACCAGUUAUGUACAUUAGGCUUGAUCGAUGAUUGGCAUUCCAAUCUGCAAUUUACUAUGGAUGCCUUCCAUGGCAAUGUGCUGACUGGUAGCAGUAUUGACUAAGAUUGUUUAGAGAAAAUUACAGUAAAAUCAUGUUGAUCUUACAGUUUAACAGUUUUGCCGUAAUUCUAAAUGUACUACUAAAGCAAUCCAUUGGUCUGUUGAUUAACUGAAAAGAGAAUUUUUUUGGAACUUCUUAUGAUGGGUUGGAAGGGGAGCCUUACCGCAACGGUAAAGUUGUUGUCAUGUGAUUAAAAAGGUGACGGGUUCGAAUCCUACAAACAACCUCUUGCAAAAAAGCAGGGUAAGGCUGCGUACAAUGAUUCCUUCCCCGGGACCUCGCAGGCGGGAGCUUCGUGCACCAGGCUGCUCUUUUUUUUUCUUCUUAUGAUGGGUUGAUUUAUUAAUUUUAAAUUUAUAUUCUUAUCAGGUACCAAGUGUUGGCGGGUGUCAUAGAACAGCGUAUUUUGGAGCCAUUGCUACACAACAACAAACUGGCACUCAGUGCCUUGUGCUUUGCAGUUCGCACAGGAAAUACAUUCUUGGGAUCACUUCUGUGGGUUGAUUAUGCUCGCUGGGUGGGCGUUCAAAAGAGUCAUGAAUAGCACACUCGUACCGACAUUCCAAUUUGCAUCGCCAGCUGAAAUCUGUGUAGGGAAAGGUUGAUUUGAAUAUUCUUAUCAAAACUCUAUACGAUAUAUACAAACGUAGUUCGUACAGCAAUAAUUCAGCAUGGUACGAGUCUACUUUGGAACAAGGGCAUUACCUGUGUUAAAAUCAAACGCUUUGUCACAUAAAAACUCUUAUUCAAAUGUAGGAUGGUUAUAAAGGUAUAAUAGAGAGUGGUAUCACGGGUCUGCUUUGACAUGUACAUUUUGUUGGAGCUGCUAAAGGUGGUGUAAUUGAAGGUGUAAUUGAAGGUGUAAUUGAAGCGCAGAUAGAAUGAUGGUAUAGCAUUGUUUAGGCAGAGUGACUAUCUUUUUGAAAUAAAAUUUUCUUGUACAACAAUCAUCUUGUAAGAUACAAUUUUAUCUUGUGAUAGUAGUUGUAAAUCACAAGAAUUUUGAAUCGAAAAUGCUUCUCGAACUUUCUAGAA